AAAAUCCGUCGAUUUCAAAAAUCGUGAGGGUUCAAGUCCCUCUAUCCCCA
rnacentral:tRNA from 91 species